UUGGAGGGCAAGUCUGGUGCCAGCAGCCGCGGUAAUUCCAGCUCCAAUAGCGUAUAUUAAAGUUGUUGCAGUUAAAAAGCUCGUAGUUGAAUUUCGGGGUUAGUAGGUUGGUCAUGCCUCUGGUAUGUACUGGUCUCACUGAUUCCUCCUUCCUUAUGAACCGUAAUGCCAUUAAUUUGGUGUUGCGGGGAAUUUGGACUGUUACUUUGAAAAAAUUAGAGUGUUUAAAGCAAGCUAACGCUUGAAUACAUUAGCAUGGAAUAAUGAAAUAGAACGUUCGAUCUUAUUUUGUUGGUUUCUAGGAUUGACGUAAUGAUUAAUAGGGAUAGUUGGGGGCAUUAGUAUUCAAUUGUCAGAGGUGAAAUUCUUGGAUUUAUUGAAGACUAACUACUGCGAAAGCAUUUGCCAAGGAUGUUUUCAUUAAUCAGGAACGAAAGUUAGGGGAUCGAAGACGAUCAGAUACCGUCGUAGUCUUAACCAUAAACUAUGCCGACUAGGGAUCGGAUGAUGUUAAUUUUUUAAUGACUCAUUCGGCACCUUACGGGAAAC
rnacentral:rRNA from 1 species